rnacentral:rRNA from 1 species
UAAAUUGAGAGUUUGAUCCUGGCUCAGGAUGAACGCUGGCGGCGUGCUUAACACAUGCAAGUCGAGCGAUGAAGUUUCCUUCGGGAAACAGAUUAGCGGCGGACGGGUGAGUAACACGUGGGUAACCUGCCUCAUAGAGUGGAAUAGCCUUCCGAAAGGAAGAUUAAUACCGCAUAACGUUGAAAGAUGGCAUCAUCAUUCAACCAAAGGAGCAAUCCGCUAUGAGAUGGACCCGCGGCGCAUUAGCUAGUUGGUGGGGUAA